GUCUGGACCUUGUCCGCGCCCCAGACUAUCCCGCCCAGGAUGAAGCCGAAGCAGAUGAGCAGGGCGCUUUCCGGGAUGUAGUUGGUGACGCUGUGGUUGGCCUCGAUGACUGGAGGGAAACAAAGAAAUCAGCACGCAAAGCAGGCUGUUCUUCUUUUAGGACGGUUGCCAAGCAACGUUUAGAUGCGCAUUACUGCCAUCUACUGGAGUGGAGUACGGGUCAGGAUGGAAGUCGUGUGUUGACGGUACAGCUCUGUUGACUGUUCAUUAGAGAACCUGCUGCCUGGAGCCGGGUCGGACCGGAACCGGGUCGGACCGGAACCGGGUCGGACCGCAGCCGGGUCGGACGGGAACCGGGUCGGACGGGAACCGGGUCGGACCGGAACCGAGUCGGACCGCAGCCGGGUCGGACCGGAGCCGGUCCGAGAAGGCAGCUUGGCUCAUGCAAGAGUGUUCAAAUUUCCUGGUGCGGUUCAUGCUGAGACGAGGCCGGUCCUGUGGCGCGGAGGGGCUUUCAUUAGAGCGCCAGCAUGUCGCUCUGCUGAGGAACGCCAUGCAGCAUCGGAUAAACACGACCUCAACGCCGCCGCCGCCGCUGAUCCGGCUCCAAAGAGACACAUCAGGUGCAACAGCUGACCGACUGAGAAUGAGCUCCGUCAUGCUGAGUCACUGGGCAGGAAACACCUGACCAAGAUGGCUGCUGGUUCCUGCCUGAGGGUCAGAAGGUCAUCUGGAGAGCCUUCCAGCAUUGACCUUUGACC